rnacentral:tRNA from 1 species
GAUGAUGUGGUCCAGUGGUAAAGACGCAUACUCGAAGUGUGCUGUGGCCAGGAGACUCUCAAACGGAUUUCGCGCCAGGAAAAAGAGUCAAACUACCACAGCUACUUUGAGUGUAUGAGACGAUAGUUCGAUUCUAUCCAUCUUCG